rnacentral:rRNA from 1 species
GACGAACGCUGGCGGCGUGCCUAAUACAUGCAAGUAGGACGCAGUUGCGAACGGGUGAGUAACGCGUAGGUAAAUACCUAUUAGAGGGGGAUAACUAUUGGAUACGAUAGCUAAUACCUCAUACUAGUAGAUGGACCUGCGUUGUAUUAGCUAGUAGGUAGGGUAAUGGCCUACCUAGGCAACGAUACAUAGCCGAGCUGGGAGGGUGAGCGUCCAGACUGGCACAGAGACAAGGCCCAGGAUCCUAAGGGAGGCAACAGUAGGGAAUCGUCGGCAAUGUGGGGAACCCCGACCGAGCAACGCCGCGUGAGUGAAGAAGGGUUUCGGAUCUGAAAGAUCUGUCGUUAAGGAAGCGGUAGUUAACCAGAAAGUGACGGCUAACUACGUGCCAGAAGCCUCGGUAAUUC